UACUGACAUAUCUAAAUGUUAUCUUUCCUUUUUAAUGUAUUCAUGUACCGUGAAGAGGAGGAAGAAGAAAGGCAGUCUGCUUGUUGGAACAAAAGAAAGGCAGAGUCCAUUUGGGAAGUGCUCAGAUACUAUAUUGAGAGUGUCAGAUAAGAAGAUAAAAUGUAUUCAGAGGAUUAUUCUGUAUCUGCAGAAUUCCUUACAGUCAACAUAGGGAAUGCUACAAAUACUGAAAGAUCAUUAUCAAAUAAGGAUCAGUCAUUAUUUUGAACAACAGAAAUAGUUAUAGAUUUGAAAACCAGGAGGCUGAAGAGAAAAGGAGAAGCUUUGGACACUGGAGGUUCCAACUUAGGUCAUGCACCAGUAAGGAGGAACUGAAAAGGUGGUCUGUUCGCUCAACACCUCAUACCUUCGGUACAAAGCAUGAGGAGAGUACCAGCUCAGGCACAGACUAAUGGACCAUACUUUCAAGAGUUCUAUGGUCUCAGGCACACAGAGCACAUGUGUACCCACAGUGGAAUACAGACCGGGACCAGCACUCAAAGAAGAAUGUAGUGUAUUCUGGAUAACUUGUUUGAAAUAGGAGGAUUUCCAAUGCAUUCAGAAACAUGAACUGGCUUUCUUUGUACUACAAGUUUCAAAAAUGUGAGCUUAAAAAA